GCUUGCGCUCGGUUGAGAAGAGUCUCAUCCGGUAGAGCGAAUGAUUAGAGGCAUUGGGGGUCGAAACGACCUCAACCUAUUCUCAAACUCCAAAUAGAUGAGACCCCCGGCUUUCUUAAAAUUGAAGCCGUGGGUUUUUGAUCAGAGUGCCAAGUGGGCCAAUUUUGGUAAGCAGAACUGGCGCUGUGG
rnacentral:rRNA from 1 species